rnacentral:rRNA from 1 species
UACGUAGGGGCCUAGCGUUGUCCGGAUUUAUUGGGCGUAAAGAGCUCGUAGGCGGUUUGGUAAGUUGGAUGUGAAAUCUCCAGGCUCAACUUGGAGGGGUCAUUCGAUACUGCCAUGACUAGAGUUCGGUAGGGGAGUGUGGAAUUCCUGGUGGAGCGGUGAAAUGCGCAGAUAUCAGGAGGAACACCCGUAGCGAAGGCGGCACCCUGGGCCGGAACUGACGCUGAGGAGCGAAAGCGUGGGGAGCGAACAGG